rnacentral:misc_RNA from 1 species
GUGAGUCAUCGAAUCUUUGAACGCACAUUGCGCCCCGUGGCAUUCCGCGGGGCAUGCCUGUUCGAGCGUCAUCUCAACCCUCAAGCCCCGGCUUGGCGUUGGGCGCGGCCGGCCCGGCCCGCCCCAAAGGCAGUGGCGGCGCCGCCGGGCCCCGAGCGUGGUACAGCCUUCCGCUCCGGGGCCCCGCGGUGGCCCGCCAGAACCCCCCAUCUCCUGCGGUUGACCUCGGAUCAGGUAGGGAUACCCGCUGAACUUAAGCAUAUCAAUAAGCGGAGGA